rnacentral:rRNA from 1 species
UACGUAGGGUGCAAGUGUUGUCCGGAAUUAUUGGGCGUAAAGAGCUCGUAGGCGGUCUGUCGCGUCGAAUGUGAAAACCCGGGGCUCAACCCCGGGCCUGCAUUCGAUACGGGCAGACUAGAGUUCGGUAGGGGAGUCUGGAAUUCCUGGUGUAGCGGUGAAAUGCGCAGAUAUCAGGAGGAACACCGGUGGCGAAGGCGGGACUCUGGGCCGAUACUGACGCUGAGGAGCGAAAGCGUGGGUAGCAAACAGG